GUUUAGGGCCAUGCCACCCUGAACACGCCCGAUCUUGUCUGAUCUCAGAAGGUGAAGAGGGUCAGGCCUGGUUAGUACCUGGAUGGGAGACCACCUAGAAAGACUGGGUGCUGCAGGCG
rnacentral:rRNA from 1 species